rnacentral:lncRNA from 1 species
GUUGCUUGUGUAGGAGAGUGAUCCAGUUGAUCGACGAUCACCUCUGUCGAGGGCAUCACCACCUCCGUCGAGGACAUCUCCUCCUCCAUCGGGGAUGCCGCCGAGGGCAUCUCCUCCGCCACCCCCGUCCAGAGACCUUUUCCGUGGAUCUCCCGCACAUAGUCGGGGCACUAUUUUGAUAAUCUGUAUGCCCGUCUGAGCAGAUUUAUAGCGGGACAGGUCGACGGGCUGCGUCGAGAGAUGAUAGAGGGUUGAUGAUCUGUGACGACAGUUGGUAGGAAGGGUUGAAGAUUUGUCGAAUGAGAUUGCAGCACUUCGAGGUGAUAUAGCCGGUAGGCGAUGGGUUGACGGAGACGGUGAUCGAGAGGGUGAUAGAGAUGAGGGUCUUCGUUGUGAAGAACCAACGCAUCGACAGAUCAUUCUCGUUAUCAACUAUGCCGAACGCAAGAGGGUAAAUUUUGAUAUUGGCAUUUUGACAUGUAGCAAUAAUCAAAUUGCCUUGGUAUUUGGAUUUCAAAGUUGUACUGUCGACUAGAAUUAGGGGUCGCAUAGCAUUUCGAAAUCCCCGAAUGCAUUGUCCAAGAGCCAUAAAGAAGAAUUUGAAGCAGUUCUCGACCUCCGUCUCAAUAAAAAAUACCGAGCCAGGAUUAGUUUUCUCCAUGUUAUGGCAAUACCUGACCAAUUUAGCAUAGUUUUUCUCUGUUGAGCCCAUUAAAUCCUCUAACGUGCAUUCUUUAGCCUUCAAGACCUUCUGGUAGCUCAUGACUACUUCGUAAUCUCGACAAAUAUCGUUAAUGAUGUCUGAUGGUCUGUAGAUUGUCCGUGGAUCCUGAUACUUGUGCAUUAUCUGUCGACCAAUAAAU